GUCACUUUGGCGGAGUGGUUAACGCGCAGCCCUGCUAGUGUCCAAACAUGAUCCCCGUUGAUCACUGUAGGUCCCAGGAAGGCUGUGACUUCGGUCGCGUAGGUUCGAAUCCUGCAGGUGACG